UUUGUGGACUCAGCUGAGGUUGCACCCGCGCCCACCCCCUGGGAAAUCUCUGUGGAUCCACCUCCUUUGUUUACAGACUGUGAAAUGCAUAUCCCAGUGCCCCACUCAUAUUCCCUGGGGAAUUGUCAGAACUGCAAAGGGCGUGGUGCAAUUACAUGCCAAUCAUGUAAAGGAAAAGGCACAAAAAAGUGCUCAGCUUGUAAUGGCACUGGGUUCAAUUCAUCUGACUACACUUCCUGCUCAUGGUGUUCGGGCUCNGGCAAUAUGC